GACGAACGCUGGCGGCGUGCUUAACACAUGCAAGUCGAACGGUGACCGAGGGAGCUUGCUCCCUCCGGAUCAGUGGCGGACGGGUGAGUAACACGUGAGCAAUCUGACCCGAACUCAGGGAUAAGCGUUGGAAACGACGUCUAAUACCGGAUACGACGUGGGGGGUCAUCCUCUCCGCGUGGAAAGAACUUCGGUUCGGGAUGAGCUCGCGGCCUGUCAUCUUUUUGGUGAGGUAACGGCUCACCAAGGCGACGACGGGUAGCCGGCCUGAUAGGGUGAGCGGCCACGCUGGGACUGAGACACGGCCCAGACUCCUACGCGAGGCAGCGGUGGGGAAUAUUGCACAAUGGGCGCAAGCCUGAUGCAGCAACGCCGCGUGAGGGAAGACGGCCUUCGGGUUGUAAACCUCUUUUAGCAGGGAAGAAGCGAAAGUGACGGUACCUGCAGAAAAAGCACCGGCUAACUACGUG
rnacentral:rRNA from 1 species